UAAUCAUCAUCAUCAUCAUCAUCAUCAUCAAUCAAUCCUUCCCUAACAUCUCCAGUAAUGCCCCUUUGUCCCCCCUUACAAGGACCAUAAGCCUUGCUACAAGCAAGAUAAUAAAUGAAGUUAGCAAAACCUAAACUAGAAAGCAGCCAGUAAUAGUAAUCAUAAUGUCCUUUGUUGAUGUUGCUUGAAACCCAACUCUCUUGAUUUGCUUCACCAAUAAACCCACGAACAUUACUUACUAUAAAACUGGCCACCAAGCUUGCAGCAGACAGUCCAAUACUAAAAAGAUUCGAGGCCACGCUAGACAUGCUUUUAGGCAAUUCAGUGUAGAAGAACUCAUUCAGUCCAACACCAUUCAUAGCCUCAGAAAAUCCAAGUAAGAAAUAGAAUGGCAAUAACCACAUUGCAGACAUGUGCGUAACCGCGUCAGGAAUAUCUGAAAUUCCUUCCCUGAUUGCAAUUUCUCGUCGCACCCUCUCUAUAAUUGCCAGUACUGCCAUGGAAGCAGCCGAGACCAGAAUCCCGAUUCCUAUUUUCUGUUUCAAGCCGAGACGUGUUGGUUUUCCCGUGAUUUUUGAUGCUAGAGGGAUGAUUACGCGAUCGUAGAGAGCAAUCCACAUUGUUGCAGAGAGCAACAGAAAUGCGUAGAAUGAUCCAGCAGGAAUUUCAAAUUUCGAAGUGAUAUGUCGGUUCAUAGUGGAUGCCUGGAGUAAUAGGAAAGAGUUUUGACAGACAUUUACAGACACCAACACCCCUGUCGACCAUAUUGGGAUUACCUUUAUUAGUGCUUUCAGCUCUUCUACUUGAUCUACUGUACAAAGACUCCAUGGAUCUGAAGCUCUUCCAUCUGGCAUCAAGUCUUCUUCAGGAUUCUUAAUAACACAAGCUUUGUUGAGAAACCUAAGGCAAGAUAAGACAAAAGGAAAUCCUUAUAGGAACUAUCAUAUAUAAAAUUACCUUAUUAUACAAGUGCUUCACAGGUAGGUUAAUUACCUUAUUCUUUCACUUGGCACGACAAGCGCGGAUCCCUUCCUAUGAUGAUACAGCUCAUCCGUGUCUAGUGAAGAUAAUUCAAUCCUUCUCUUUCUAAAGGAGGCCACGAGAACUCGAGCAAAUCCGAUGAGCCAGCUUGCCUUAGCCUUUGGCUUGACAUAAAUGGAAGAAGCCAAGAAGAACGAAAGAGUUGACAGGAUCAUGAGAACCACAGGAACUCCGAAACCCACCUUCCAGCCCAUGGCCUCUUGAAUGUAAACCACACAAGUCAUGGAAAUAAAUACAGAAGCUGAUGAUAUAACAUAGUACCAACUGAAGAAGCUCUCUAAUAUUCCAGCAUGUUUAAGGCUGUCCCUCUUGCUCAAUUGAUCAGCACCAAAGGCCAGGGAGCAUGAUCUUAUGCCACCAGCUCCGAUAGACAUAAGGCCUAAGCAAAAAUAUAGAAACAAAAGCUGUGGUGUCGUCGCGUCGUUAUUGCAUAUGCUACUAAAUUGGGCGCAAGAAGGCACCGUUGCCCCAGGAAUUAUUGUUGUCAACCACAAUAGAACCAUUCCCUGCACAUUUAUUUGAUUCCAGUUAAUAUUUUGACAUGAUCAAGAGUUUUGAGAAAGUUUUUUUUCCUUCUUCUAAACUUCAACGUCGUAUUAAUUAGAGAAGAGCAAACAACUUUAGUGUGUGUGUGAGAUGAAGAUUUGUCAAUUUGGACAACACAUGAUAACAGGUCUUGUUGAAGAUUUUUAUAAAAGGAUUUAAGAAUAAAAUAGAUAUAAUUAAACAUGUUGAUAUAUAUAUAUAUAUGUAUAUGUGUGCGUGCGUGCGUGUGUAAGGAUGGAUAACUAUAUAUUUUUCCAAGCUUUAUCCACGAUAGCUUGUUACUUGUUUAUUAAUUCUUGUGAGAUUGGCUUCCGAAACAAGCUAUGGGUCCAUCCAUAUGCAGAUAUCUCGUUACUUAUAAAAUAUUCAGAAAUAUAAUAAUAAAAUAUAUUGUUGUUUUCAUCAGCUAUAUUAAAAGGAAUUUAUCAUCCAGUAAUAAAAUAUUACUGGUGGAGGAGGAUUCAAUAUGCGGCAGUGUUUGGAACGUUGGAAUGAGGUUUCCAUCGUGUUUAAAAUUUUUAUUUUUAAUUUUUUUAUAUAUAUUUUAAAAUUAAGUGAAAAUGAAACUUAUCAAUUACCCGGGCUCUCUCACGUGGUGUUAAAAAACCCCUUUCAAAAAAAUAUAUAUAUCUGAAGUUAUUAAUGAGUUCGAUAUAAAAUAAUAUGUAUUAACUCUUACAUAUUUUAAUUGAAAAUCCUUUAAAUUUAAAAUUUAUAGAGGUUAAUACUAUAACAUGUUUUAAAUUUUAAAUUUAAUUAAAAAAUUUAACACGUUUAGUAUAUUAAAAAUUAUUUCAAUUUAAAAACUCAUUUAAGAUUAGCAAUGGACUUAAUUAAUUGGAAUCACCACUUUUGUUUGUGAGAGAAUCGCCACUGAGCCAUAGAUCCGUUGGCCGGACACAUGGUUGUCUUCGUGACAAACAGAAGGGAGAAAAAUAGAGAGACGAGAGAUGAUGCCAAGUUGGAAAGAAAUAAUGUUACCAGAAGGCUCGCAAUACAUCCAAAGCCGAUCAUCGGGUAUCGACCCACAUAUGUAUCAGCAAGAAAAGCCCCAAUAAUUGGCAUGAAAUUCCCAGCAGCUGAGUAGAGGAAGAGUAUUUGGGCACCGCUAGCUGCAUCCAUACCAUACUCUCUAGUCAAAUACAGUAUCAUAUUUGUUGAUAGCCCAAAACUUGCUAGCCUCUCCAGUGCCUCAUUUGCUGUCAAAACAUCAAUUUAAACCACAUUACUUGAACAGUAAUAUAUAUAAGCUGCCAUGUAACCUGCUGCUCAUAAUAUAUGCGUCUGCGUGCAUGUUGCUGAAUGUGUAUUAAAUACCUAUGAUGAAAAACAAGGCUCUUAUGCCACCCUUCGGGCUGCUCAAGAGUGGCUCUGUGAUCAUCUCCUUCGGAUCUGAUUGUGCACUCUGUCGAUGGAGGGAAAGAGUCUCACAGCUUCUUCAGUCCACUAAUUUGUUGUGAGAGAUCAUUUGGUGCACGAUGAAUACAUAUAUACACCCAGAGAUUUGUUGCCUUAAGUAAGCUCCUUUGUUUUCCCGCUGCUGGUUUUGGCUUCAUUAGCUGUUCCUCUAGGAUUCAUUAGCUGUCCUUCCAUUGAUUCUAUCCAUAAAAAAAGAAAUAUAGAUUGAACGUUGAUGUCACUGGAUAAUAAUUCUUUAGUAAACGUAAGAUUUUCUCAAGUUGCAAUUUUUUAUUUCACUGUAACCUGUUUCCCGGAAGAACAGCGUAAAUUCGAGCACACAAAUAUUCUAUUCAUCUUUUAAGCUAAGUAUCCAAGCACAGACAAGCUGAAUUUUGUAGAAACAGAAUUCUUCCUUGCAGGUUUUACUUAGCUCUUGCCCAAUUGGAUUUAGGACCAAGUUUUUGGAUUAAAUUAUGUAUCCUUGUUAAUCCAAUCAACUUCAUGUAUGAUCUUCCAACAAGGAUAUUGCACAUGUCAGGUGGUUUUUUGGUACACUGCCACUACACCGUCUCUGACACAGUUUCACAAAAAAACUGAAAGGGAAAACCACCCCGCUUAUUGUACUUCAACUUGCAUAUAUAAUAAAUUGAAAGGGAAAACAUUCAUUGUAUUGUUCAUAAAUUGCUAUUCAAUACGCAUUCAUUGUACUCUUUGCUUAUUAUUAUUAUAUUAUAAAAUAAAAUUGUAGAAGUUGAUAGCAAUUAGCUCAAUGCUAUGCAUCAACUUUGUUCUGCAAAAUCAAUCAAUAUCAAGCUAGGAAUAAAAAAUUGUCUCCCAUUGCAGACAAGCUGAAUUUUGUAGAAACAGAAUUCUUCCUUGCAGGUUUUACUUAGCUCUUGCCCAAUUGGAUUUAGGACCAAGUUUUUGGAUUAAAUUAUGUAUCCUUGUUAAUCCAAUCAACUUCAUGUAUGAUCUUCCAACAAGGAUAUUGCACAUGUCAGGUGGUUUUUUGGUACACUGCCACUACACCGUCUCUGACACACAGUUUCACAAAAAAACUGAAAGGGAAAACCACCCCGCUUAUUGUACUUCAACUUGCAUAUAUAAUAAAUUGAAAGGGAAAACAUUCAUUGUAUUGUUCAUAAAUUGCUAUUCAUACGCAUUCAUUGUACUCUUUGCUUAUUAUUAUUAUUAUUAUUUGCUUUGCUUUUGACGAUUUGAUAAAAUAAAAUUGUAUAGAAGUUGAUAGCAAUGAGCUAAAUGCUAUGCAUCAACUUUGUUCUGGAAAAUCAAUCAAUAUCAAGCUAGGAAUAAAAAAUUGUCUCCCUGUUUCUAGGUUUGAAAGAGUAAAAAGAAUAAGGAGGAAGAAAAUUAUUGGUUUGAUACAAUGAAACUCGUUUUUCCUCAGCAAUGUGCUCAUUGUUUCUUUGUAGGGGACCAUAUUAAUUUGAACAUUAAUUUUAUCUUAAACCCUGUAAUUCCACAACCUUUAGCCUACUCGGUCAGUUAACUUUCUGUUAGUGAGUUGUCAUCCUUUUGCAUUACUUUUUCAUUGGUUUGUUUUAUUUAUUUUUUUAAACAAAUGGGGGUACUGUUUAAUUUUUUUUUAUAUAAAACUAGGACCAGAUUCAACCCCUCCUAUUCUAUUAUAACGUGUUUGAUGUGGGACCCAUAUAUGCCAUGUAUUAUGGAUAAUUGUUAGUGAUAUCGCAAGUGUACGCGUGGUGUAAUUGUUGGGAUUAGAGUUAUUAAGAAAUUCAAGUGUACUGGUUUUAUCAAAAAUUUUAAGGACAAUGGACUGGUUGUAACUAGAAAAGAUAUUAGCAUCCCUAGUACACCUUACAUGAGGUAGCACCCUUAGCAUACCUUACCCAAGCUAAGCUGCAUUGCAUGACCUGUGUCAUAACCUAUUUUUGGGUUCUUCCCAAUUACAUUUCAUUUUCUUCUUCUUCUUCUUCUUCAAAAAAAAAAUAACAACAGAACACCGAAAUAGUGCCGUUUUGAACAACAAUGUUCUCCUUCUUCCCUGCGCAUACAAAGACAGGGAAUAAAAAGAUUGUAAAUCGUUUUUCCCACUCUCUCCCCCCCUAACUUGACCACUCACCCGACACAACCCAUACCCCUACGUACCCUACCACCACGCCGAAGAAAAGACAGAGGCGUCAUGCCCUGCAAACAGGUGGCCACCUUACCCUGUAGAGGUAAGGUAGCACCGCUCCCUCCUGCACCAUGAAGGGAUAGAGCAGGGGGCUCCCUCUUCUCCUGCUUAUAAAUAGAAGGGGAGGAGAACGAACCGAAGGGAAGGGGAAAAAUUUAAGGAAUGAGAAAUAGAGGGUUUUGAGAAGAUAGAAAUAUUUGAAAAAAAAAACCAGGAAACAGAAAGGAGAUUUUAGAGAGAAGAAAGUUGAAAAACAGAGGGGGAUUGUUUUGAAAACAGAAACUGAACGAAGGAGAAAUACAGAAAACGCUAAGAAAGGAAGAAGAAUCACUGUUUCAGCUGUGGUUCGCCACCUACACUGCCAACACCAUUGUUAGAGAGAGAAAGAACAAGAGAUAGGGAAGCUGGGGGUGGACGAAGGGGAGAAAAGAAAGGAAACAAAAAAUAAAAGAAAGAAGAAACACAGAGAAGUAGAGGAGAGAAGAAGAAGGAUCGCCGCCUACAACCACCUCCAUUCUUCCUCUCCACGGCCACCAGCGAGCACCACUGUGAGCCACCGUAGGUCAGCUUCUUCUCCUUCUUGGUUCUGCUCGGCCCCCACCCCAUCUCCACUAUUCUUCUAAUGAACAAUGGAGAGUGAAUUAUAAUUCACUCUCCAAUGUUCACGUAGCAUCUGAACAGCGGAGAGCCAUUGUUCACUGUCCGGCUUAGUCCAAAAUUUUUUUUAAAAAAAAUCAUUUCAAAAAUUUGUAAUUUUCCCGUGUAUUUUUCUACUGAAUUUUGCUUAAUAUUGGUUUGUAUUUUUAUACCGUAAAGAUACUAAUCCGGUAUUAAAAUACCCGUCUUUCUUUGAAAUGAUGUAAAAAGAAAAUUAUAAAAAACACAAAAAAUGUCUUGCUUUCUUGCAUACGACCAAGUCUCUAAAAAAAUCAUAUCGUAUUUCCAUACAAAGAAAAUUUCAAAAAAAAUGUUUUAGCAUGCAUUUUCGCUUUAAUAACCAGUUUAUUAAAGUCAUGAGAACUAGGUUAAUAUUUCAAAAACUCCAAAAUUAUCAUUUUGUUUUCUUUUAAUAUUAAGGAUUUCGCGCUUAUACGUAAAGCGUACUCUCAAUAUUAAAAGGAUAGUUUUUUUAUUGACAUUAGAAUGAUUAAGUUUAACCUAAUAAGAUAAGGAUCUCCUUACCGAAGGGAACGUUUCUUAAACCAUAGAUAGACCAACAAUUAGACCUUAACGUUUAUCAGACAAUCAAACAAUGCAGCUUACCUUAGUAGGGCGUAUUUGGGGUGUUAAUACCUUCCCUUUACGCAAUCAAUUCCUGUGCCUGAUCUCUAAGACCAGUUAGGGUGACCAAAAUAUUAGGUGGCAACUUCCAUUUCAUUUUUCCAUUGAUAAAAGACAAGAAUCCCUUGUCUCCUCAUAUUUGUCAGAUAGAUACCAUACCUGAGAGUGGAAGAUUCGCUAUGAUGUGCGCCCACAUGCGACAGUCUGAAUAUGAUUUAAAGGCUUUGAUGAGUUCUUAACCAACAGUUUGUUUAUGUCUUCGGAUGAAGAUUUAUUUGUGUUAAUAAAUCUGAUGUUUUGAAUUUAUUAUAGGCUCGUGUCUCCAAACAAAUUCUUAUGGAAAAGGUUUAUGUAGGUGCGCUUUACCUAUCUUCGAAGGUAGAAGAAUUUUUCACAACUCGUGUGUUGUGGUGAAAAUACUUCCAAUUAAAAUGUAUUGGACCUAGUAAUCUCAUUCAAAUGAGACACCUCUUUCAAGUAAAGAUAGGCAAUCCAGACAGCAUCUAUAAUCUUUUUUUUUUGUUUUUUUUGUUUUAAACAUUAAAAAACACGUAAGAAAAUACACACACACACACACACAUUUGUUUAAUUAUAUUUUACUCACAUAAACUACAAUUAUAUUUUUUACAUAUCACUAAAAUUCAAAACAAUUCAGACACACACACAAUAGACAUUUAUAAUUUACAAAAUAGGCCUUUUAAAAUUCACAAAUUAAUCCAGAGAAAUUGCUAGAAUUUCAGGAACAGUGCUGGGAAGCUUCCAAGUUACAGGAACAGUGGCGGUGCGUGGGUCUCACACACCACCACCACUUACGGCGAGUGGAACAACAUGUCGUCACCGGUUAAGACAAGAAAUAGGUGGAUCAAAGACUGCUUCUUCUCUUUUCUCUUCUGUUUCUAUGUUGCUUUUUUUUUUUAUAUUCCCUUGCUUCUCUGUUUCUUCUUCUGUUUCUGAUGGUGAUGGUGCUGUUGUCGAUGGUGGCUCAAGGCAGUUCCUGUGGUGGCGAUGAGGAAGGUAAGCGGUGGUGCCCUUUUCUUUCCUUUCUGUUCCUUCCUUGUUUUUGUUUCAUCCCUUCUCCUUUCCUCUCAUUUUCUUUCUCUGUUUUAUGUCCUUUUGUUUCGUUCCUCUUUCUCUCCUCUCUGUCUCUAUUUCUCUCUCUGCCUUCGUCCUCUAUUCUUAAACAACCACCCCCCCGCCAGGCCUCUCCUUGAUCUCCCUUUAUUUUUCACCUCCUUUGUUUCCUUCUCUCUAUAUCAUCCCCUCUAUUUCAAACUAUUCCCUCAACCUUCUCUCCAUGUCUUUCUCUCCCCUUUGUUCUCUCUCUCUCUGGUCCUCUCAAGAAAACUCUUUAAUGUCCUCUCUAAAACUCUCCUGCAAAUCACCCCCCCUUUUCGUUCUCCCUACUCUCGUAUUUAUAAGGGGAAAAUGGGAGAAAGUACCUUACCAUGUCCAAUUGCGUCGAAAGGGUAGGGUGGCUGGGCAACCGCUAUGCAACUGUCCGUAAGGCUUUGUCUCCUUUGCUUUUCCAUCUUAGCAGGCCAAUAGGCGUGGGUCUUGUCAGUUUUGGGUUUUGGGAGAGAGAGGGAAAGAGAUGUUGCAGGGGAGAAAAUCUCCUUCUUCCCCACUUGUGCAUGUCUAGGGGAAGAAGGAGAUGUACAGUGCCAUUCAAAAUAGCACCGUUUCCCCCAUUAUUUUUAAUAGUGGAUGAAACGGUGUUAUUUUGAACAAAACACGUCAUAUCAUUUAAAUGAAAAUGGCACCAAAAAUUUCAAUUUCCAAAUCAAUAUUUAAUUUUCUAUUUAUUCAAUCAAGUCUUCAAUUGCAAUUUUGAUUUUAAGAAUCAAUUCAAUUGCAUCCCUGCCAAAUAGGAUGUCAGCCUAAAGUUGACCACCUUUUUUUAUUUCGGUCUUUGGUCUCGGAUUUAUGCAAUUUGACCCUCAAUUAAUCAAUGAACUUCCAUUUUCUCAAUUAAGUCUCUGAUUUGACCAAUUCAACUCUUAAAAAUUAUAAUUUGACCCUUGAACUUUAAUUUCUUCCAAUUAAAGCCCAAAUUGACUUAAAAAUCAAUUUUCUUGCAAUCAAACCCUUCAUAAAUUUAAUUAAACUUUCAAUAAAAUUUAAUUGAGUCCAUAAACAUCUGAUUUUAGAUUUUUCUUCCUUAAAUUGAAUUCUCUUUGUCAAUAGAGCUCUCAUCAGUAAAAAAUAUACUGUAAAAUUUCAAUAAUUGUAUUUUUAAACCUCCUCAACCAAUUUCUAGCCAUUUUAUAAGUGCUCUGCCAUCCUCUUCUCACUGCUAUUAUUUUUUUUGGAUUUAUUUUUUUUAUUUUGAAUAUAUUUUUUUAGUUUUGGAAGAAAAAAUAAAUUUGGGGAAUAACCCAAAAAUGGGUUAUGAUUGUUACCCUUUUUUUUUGCAAUGCUUAUGAUAGAAAGGCUCGUAGGAAACUUUAGAUUGUAAGCUUUGUAAAGAAGAAAAACAAAAAGAUAAUGAACUCACCAUAUCAAGAAAUGAUGAAUUGUUUUGAAAGUAUUUGAAGUGAGCGCUAGAAAGCGUACUCAGAGGUGAAAUUCAAAGAUUCUUGAAAUGAUUGAAUAAUCAUGGGUGACUUGCCCAGGGAAAAAAAUAAAAAGAUUUUUCAAGAUGGACUCAUCGUAAUAGGUGACCUCCCUGGGUUGAAAUAUACAAAGAUUUUUCCAAAAAAUAGUCUUAUUGUAACGGGUGACCAACUCACGCACACUCACCCUGGUCUAAUUUCAAGGGCGACCUGCCCAUACACACUAAUCCUGGUUUAUUUUCACAAGUGACCUGCCCUUUCGGUUAGGUUAACCUGAGAUCCCAUUUGGCGAUCUCUUUUAACUAGAACCAAAAUCGGUGUGUAGCUUGGUCAAGUUGAAAUCUCAUCUAGCAAUUCCCUUUAACCAAAGCUAAAAUUUAUAUGUGGUUGGGUUAACCUGAGAUCCCAUCUGUCGAUCUUCUUUAACCAAAACUAAAAAUAUAUGUGUGUGGUCUCAUUGUAAUGGGUGACCUACCCAAGUGAAAAAAAUAUGAAAAGUGGUCUCAUUGUAAUGGUUGACCUACCAAAGUGGAAGAUGAAAGUGAAGAUAGUCUCAUUGUUAUGGAUGACCUACCUAGAUGAAAAAUAAAAAGUGAAGAGUGGAAAAUGUUUUCAUUGUAAUGGGUGACCUAUCUAGAUAGAAAAAGAUAUGAAAAACGGUUUCAUUAUAAUGGGUGACCUACCCAAGUGAAAGAUGGUCUCAUUGUAAUGGAUGACCUACCUAGAUGGAAAAAAUGUGAAAAACAAUCUCAAUGUAAUAAGUGAAGUAUCCAAGUGAAAAAUGAUCUCAUUGUAAGGGGUGACAUACUCACAUGAAAGAUGGUCUCAUUGUAAUGAAUAAUCUACCCAAGUGGAAGAGGGUCUCAUUGUAAUGAGUGAGCUACCCAAAUAAAAGGAAUAUGAAGUGGUCUCAUUGUAAUGGGUGACCUACCCAGAUGAAAAAGUGGUCUCAUUGUAAUAGGUGACCUACCCGAGUGGAAAAUGAAAAAGUGGUCUCAUUAUAAUGGGUGACCUACCCAAGUUGAAGAGGGUAUCAUUGUAAUGAGUGACAUGCCCAAAUAAAAAGAAUAUGAAGUGGUCUCAUUGUAAUGGGUGACCCACCCAGAUGAAAAAUGGUCUCAUUGUAAAAAUAAAAAAUGGGUGACCCACCCAUAUGAAAAAUAAAAAAAUAGUCUCAUUGUAAUGGGCGACCUACCUGGGUGGAAAAUAUGAAAGCGGUCUCAUUGUAAUGAGUGACCUACCCAAAUGAAAAAUAAUUUGAAGAGUCUUGAAGGGACGACAUGAUAGGGCUCGAAGGGAGAUAAGGGCUCAAAGGCGCACUUGAAAUAACAUAGGGUUACGAAACGCACUACCUGAAAGAUAAGGGCUCAAAUAUGCACUUGAAAGUAGGUAGGGUUAGAAAACGCACUACCCAAUAGAUGAGGGCUUAAAGGUGCACUCAAAAGAAAGUGAGGGCUCAAAGGCGCACUCGAAAGGAGGUAGGGUUAUAAAACACACUAUCCAUAAUUAAGUUUAUCAACUUCAAUUCUAGCAAGGCUUUCUUCUGUUUUUGGCUCCUGCCUUAGAUCCCAACUGAUGCUCUGAACUACUUGAUGUGCCGUGAAUGAUUCGAAAAUCGGCAACAACGAAUCUAAUCAAAAUGGAUGAAGGAUGGGUAUGGUUGUGUUGUCUUUCUUUUGGUGUUUAGGCUGAAUUAUAGUGAUUUUAAGGUAAAUAAGAUGGAGGAUAGACUUGAAUGAUACUUUGAUAAGUCGAUCUUGACGCCACAAAGAUCAAUCUAGGAUUUCGACGCCACACUCUUUGUGAUUGAAGAGUGAUAAGUCAUGUAGGAUUCUUCACAAAAUCAAUUUGGAAGAACAACUCUUAAUUCUUUGAAUUAAGUUUCAAAUCUUGGCCAAAAGUCUUUAUUACAUAUUCUGAUACUAUAUUUAUGAUUGGAACAUCCCUUCAUAGUUAGGAAAAUUCAACAUGACAGAAGUCAAGUCCAAAAAUUAGACUUUGACAAAGUAACUAGACAAAUUUAACUAGCACAUGUUUUCUGACCUUAAUUGAAACAUAAACAGACCAAAUUUAAAACGGCUAUAACUUCUUGCACCAAAGUCCAAUGUAAUCAUGAUUAGACAAUUUAGAAAGAUCAUGUUCUAAACUUGAAAUCCAGACUUCAAAAUUGGGUUCAAAUUCAUCUACUAUUCUGACCGUAAACAACAUCAAUUUCUUUACUUAUUUGCAUUAUCAAUCCAAACACAAGUAGCCCAACAUUAAAAGAACCAUUAAGGGCUUUUCCCAUGUCCAAGUUUUAAUUGUAGGUAAAUAAGAACCUUUGAACCAAUUCUGAACAGAUUGCUAGCUUUUAACUUCGAAGCAGCUUCAAUCAUUCCAAUUUGACACGUCAAGGCCCUUUACAGUUGUUUCUCUCUCGUUCUUUUUAUUGGGCCAUCUAAAUCUUCUUGUAGAUUAGGUUCAACUUUACGAGUUGGAUUAUAAUCCCAUGAUGCACAUCACUACCCAAGAGGUGAUGAUGAAACACUAAUCUAUCAAUGUUAAAAGCAAUGCAUUAUGAUCGAUAUACAUGUAUACUUGAGAAAUAUAGGUCCUCUUUUCUUCAUGGAGUCUUCCUUUUCUCAAAGUUUGAGUCUUGGUAGUAAACUUCAAUGGCCUUUUCGCUUUUGCUUACCCGAGCCACAUUUUGAUCUUGACCUAUAAGAAGGGCUUAAUAUCAUCAUACCUCUUUGUCCUCCAACCUUUAUCUCAAACGUCACCAGCUAGCUCUGCCCCACAUUUUAUUUUUUUAGAAAGGGAAUCAUAGAGCCAGCCCUACCAUGUGUUUUUGGAUUGCCCCCUAGCUUGAUUAUACCCCCAAGUAUUCAAUUUGGAUUUUCUUUGGGGAUGAGGCUAUGUGAAGGAAGGUUUGGUUAUUGACAAGGAGUUGUUUUCAUGCAGAAUUUUUGGAAUUUCAAAGCUAUUCCAGACACAAAAAUCAUUUUGACAUCAGUUUAAAGCAAACUCAUUCUGAAGAAAUUCAAGUGAUUCCUAUGGACAAGUUUUUAUAAGUGAUGAAAGAAUUUUUGUUUUUCUUUUGGUGAAAAUGUGCAGUGAUGUUUUAUUGGUAAAAAAUGGUUCAAGAUUCAAUCUAAGGGUUUCAAAGAACCAAUCUUCAAAGCAUUCACUUUAUUUUCAUGAAUAAUAAAGCUUGUUUCUUAUGGGAAAGCAUUGCCUACUGAUCCAGAUUGCUUGCCUUUGAUCAGAAAGGGCUUGGUUGGGCACGUAAUGUAGGCUUUGGCUUUUGGUUAUAAAGAAAAGGAUAUUUGUUGGCUCAAAAGGUGUUUAAGGGAUUUCAAGACUAAAGAUUGUUGUUACUCAUUUUCGGACCCCACGUGCUGGAGACAGUGCAUACCUCUUAUGAACUGAGUGUAGGAGUUUAACUCAUGUUUGCUGGAAGAUUGACAAAAGCAGAGAAAGAAAUAUUUUUUUUUGAAACCCUGUUUGAGCUAUUUUUUGCUCUCUUUACCCUUCCCCUUUGCUACCAAAAUCGUCAGGUUUUCUUAGAUUGAUCAGGAGUCUUCAUAAUGCUAAAUUCGUUCCUUCUUUAUCUGGUCUUUAAGGUUGGAUAAAUCCCUCAGAAUUUGCACUUAAAAAACUAGUUAUGCUGCUGUCGUAAUUUUUUAUUCCAUCUUAGGUUUUGAUUCUAACUUGGUCUCGUACGAUAUCUGACCAUCCUAGCUAUAUUCUAUCACUCAUGACAUGUUGAAAAAUUGACCUACACCUUUAUUGGGUCCUAGGGAUCACUAUUCUUAGGGCAGACUCUCAGUCAUCAGAUCUGGAUGCUCGACAUUGUCAGAUCAAGAACCUUUUUGACCAACUAGAUUCCUGCCAGAUUCUGUUAUCUAAAAAGAUUUUAUCUCACUUUGACUCCUUCAUCAAAGUUGUAGUCCUAGAUGCGUAGAUAAAUUUGGGCUUUUAAAUCGCUUGAUUUCUAUAUCAGAAGCUCAAGAUAUUCUCAUUUGAAUAUCUAAUGUGAAAGCAGAGAAUUCUGCUGCGAGAAGUAUCCUGGCCCCCAAGUUUUGCACUAAAAACUCUAUUUCUAUCAUAAAUUUUAUUGAUUUGUUCUUAGGUCAUACUCUCAGUCAUAUCGGGAUUCUCGGCAUUGUCAGUUUCUGAAUUAGAUCAGGAGACCCUUUUGAUCAACCAGAUUACUACCAGAUUCUGUUCUCUAAAAUGAUUUUAUCUCACUUCGACUCCUUCAAAGUUGUAGUCCUGAACGCGUAGAUAAAUUUGGGCUUUUGAAUCGCUUGAUUUCGAUAUCAGAAGCUCAAGAUAUUCUUGUUUGAAUAUCUAGUGUGAAAGUAGGGAUUCCUGCCAAGAGAAGGAUUUUUGCCCAAGUUUGCAGGGACACAAUUGCAAGAUGCUUAAAGUUUGAAGACCAAUUGCAGGCCAAUUUAAAGCUUUUUUUGGACCAAGGACCAAAUGGAAAAGGUGCUAGAAUAAGGAAAUUGAUUGAAGAUAAAAUUAGAAAGUAAUUUUUCCGGAUGAAGAAAUUGAAGAACAGAGAUUCGAUUAGAAAAGGAAAAUAGGGGAGCUGAUCAUGUUUUGCUCUCAUUUUUACGACGCCGUACUACCUUUUGUUUUGACACAAAUUGCACAGCCCCUUCAUGAAGAUAUAAUUAACAUAACACUGUCCAUUGUCAUUUUGAGAACAACCCCUCCCCCCGUCUGAUUUCUUUCCUGCACAAACCUUCCCGACUGAGCUCUUUCCUUUUUUUUUUCUCUAUAAAUUCCUGUUGUUUUCCUUUAUCAUCACGCCUGAUUUUUGGAGCUGCAGACCACAUUUUUAUUGCCUCAGCUCAAAGGAAACAACUGGUGCCUCAUGGUCCCAGCUAUGGAAGGAAAGAAAGGAGUCGCACCAUCCUCUAAAAUACUGGAAAGAAAUCACUGAUGAUCGAGAAUCAGAAUCAAAAUAUUUUGGUUUCCUAUUUCUGCUCACCGGAUAUUAUACCCUAUAGUUAAUGUAAUAUUUGUUUUCUAAAUAAAGCCAUGUAUAGGCUAUAUAGAUGCCUCGGCUGCUAACCUAAGGGGAGGAAGAAAACGAGAAAAAAAAAGAAAGACAAAAAACGCAAGAGAGGUAGGCAGUUAGGAGAGAAAAAACACAAAGAACAGAGGGAGUUUCUUCCUUCAUCCUUGUGUUGCUAUGAGAUCAGGAAGGCAGGCAGUAGAAGAGAAAGAAGAGAAAAUAAAAGAUGAAAAAAAGAGAGGAGAAACAAGGUAGGAGCAGGAACUGACUUUAAGUCUUUGCUCCAUUUGUUUUUGCAAAUAAAAUCUUCAGAACAGGGGAGAAGAAAGUGCAGGAACCAGUCGAGAGAGUGACGAAGACACAGAGGAAGGAAAAAGCAAGAAAUAGACACAAAUACAGAACAAAAGGAAAAAGGUUUGAAACAGACGAACAAAGACCAAGCAACCACCACGCUUUCAAUGUUGUUGCAGCUUCUUCGUCUCCCUUCGUCUCCAGGUCUGUUCUCUUCACCUUUUGCAUGCAUUUGUUUUCUUUGUGUUUGCACUGUUCAAGUGGAUUUUAAUUCACUUGAACAGUAACGUGGUCUCUUUGCAUGCAUUUUACUUUAUGUGUACUGUUCAAGUGAAUUAAUUCACUUGAACAGUAACCCGCCAGCUUUGAUUAAACUGUAACUGCACCAUUUUUGUGUCCAGCCGGGCAAGUGACUAGACCGGACCUAUUUUUUUUUUCUUCAAAAAAUAAAAGAAAGAGAAAAGGAUUUGUGAUUUUCUACCAUAUUUAUUUUAAGGUCUGAAAUUUUUUUUAUGCUGUAAAAAAUAUCAAUCUCGUAUUUAGAAUACCUGGUUUUUUGAUGCAAUGUGACAAAUAUACAUAUAGAUAAAAAAAAAAAUGUUUUCAUGCAUACGGCCAAUACCCUAACAUGUUUUGAACACUCUUUUUUAUACAAAAAAAUAUUGGAAGUUUUGAAAAUGUGUUUUCGUAAGGAUUUCUUAAACACAACAAAAAUUAUUUUCUUGCAUUUCUGGAUUUUACAACAUGUUUGUAAAACUCCAAAGGGUAUUGGCCAAUAUUCCAAAACAAAUUUAAAAAUUUUAUUUUGGGGGGAAUUCAUCUAUUAGUCACCGUUAAUGUUUGGAUAAAGAAAUCCCAAACGGAUGAAUAUCCAAAAUAUUUAAUGGGAAUAACUUGUUAUUAUUCACUGUUAAUAUUUGGAUAAAGAAACCCUAAGUGGUAAAUAUCCAAAAUAAUUUUUCAGGGAUAAUAAGUCUUCACACAUCCUUGAAAGAAGCCUUGAUUAUAAUCGAGGACAUUUCCAUUUUUUACUCCAUGGUUUACGAGCCGUGACAGUAUAAUACACUAAGGCAAAAAUAGGCUUUUAAAGCGCCCUAGAUUUCUAAAUUUUUGUCCUUCCUCUUUGCGAUUUACGAGUCGUAAACUCUUGAAAUACUAAGGAAAAAAUGAGCUUUUAAAGCACAUGGAAUCUCCUUGGAUUUCUAUCUUAAUAAAUUUAGUUUAAAUCAAACCUAGGAAAACUUAUGGGAUUAGAGAACACUAACACCAUAGCAAUUAUAAAGCAGAUCAAACAUCAAGCAGCUUACCUUAGGUAGAGCGUACUAAGGGUGCUAAUACCUCCCUUUACACAAUCAGUCCCUUGCCUUAGAAUCUCUGAAAGACCAAUUAGGGUUCCUAGUGACCAAAAUACUAGAUGGCGACUCCAUUAUUCACAAAACAAAAAAAACCCGAAAUCAAUCGAGGGCUGCCGCUCCGCCACGAGGGUGCGACAGGAUGGCGACUCCACUGGGGACCCUAGGACUAGGCUUGGUAAUUUGUUUGUUUAUGCUAUGUAUUAUUGGUUUUUAUUUUUUGUUUUUUUAUAUGAAUGAUACUUUGUUUAAAAGCUUUAGCAUGCAUCUUUACAUUCUGUCAUACAUGAUUUAGUCAUUCAUCACUUUAUUAUUAUUAUUAUUAUUAUUAUUAUUAUUAUUAUCAUCAUCAUCUUUUUGAGGGCACACACGUUAAAUUUUAAGUUAAGUGGGGGACUAGCAGCUUGCCUUAUAACUUAAGUCAAGGUUUAAGUUUGUGUAAACCCCAACUCUUUGCUAAGUGUUUAGACUGAUAGUGAUUGGUACACGUGCCAUCUCACUAUCUGCUGAACCCCCAUAUUGCCUUUACGAGGAUGAUCACUGGGACAACAAGAGACCAUUUUUAGAGACCAAGUAGUAAACCUACCAUAUGUAUCAUGUAAAGGAACUAGAACUUAUCCUUAUGGUGUAUGCUCCAUAAUAUCUUUUGCAUCGAAACAAGUCUAACCCCAAGGCAUCUUGAAUUGCAGGACUUGUGAACGAAAUGGCCACCAUUGCUAAAUUUUCCAUCAUAGAAUAUGGAAAAAAUUCUGAACUAUCACAAUUGACUGAAGGAGACUGCCUUAGAAGCGAUGCUAAGAAGCUAUCACCAAUCAAGAACCUGAAUUGCAUUAUGAAUGAGGUAAACAAGUUAACGACUCACUUUCAGAAUGUGGAUAAGGAUGCAUUUUUUAGGAAAUACGGACGUUUGGUGGACAUUGCAAGGGUAGAAGUUUUAAGUCCAGCUGUGCGAGCCUUAGUUCAUUUUUUGGAUCCAGACUACUGGUGUUUUUCUUUUGGAAACAUAGACAUAUAUCCCGUUAUGGAGGAAUAUAGGAUGUUGACUGAGUGUCCAAACAAUUUGUAUAGGAUUUAUUUUCCUUUGAGAUCUGACAAGAUCAUCCCCGAACUGUCAAAACUGCUCAGAAUCGCCAACUUAGAAAAGUUUUUGGAAAAGAAUGCUACCAGUCUGAAGUGGAGGAUGCUAGAAAUUGAACUGGAAAAGAGGUCAGGAUCAGAAAAAGAGAGAUUGAUUGCAUUGGGCAUAUUUGGCCUUGUGUUAUUUCCAAGCCAGACGGGUGUAGUGAGUUUGAAGGCCGCUGCUGCUUAUGUAGAGUAUGAGAAUACAUAAAUCAAUCCAGUUGCUGCUAUUUUAGCUGAAACAAUCUUGACACUUAACCAUUGUAGGAGGACCGGAAAAGGAGCAAUGAGAUGCUGCACGUAGUUGUUGUAUAUCUAGAUGGUUAGCCAUAGCAAAACAAAAAAACCUGUCUUCAAUAAUUUUUGGUGGUUCACCCAAAGACCCCUGAAAUUAGUAGAAGAAGAAGAAUGAGGAGAUCUAGACAAUGAAGGUUGGGUUGAUAAAUUAGAAGGUUUGCCUAAUAAUGAUUUCAAGUGGAGAGCCCCAUGGGCAACAAUAGUGAAAGUCCUAAUGAGUUGUGGACAAAGACGUUGGGUGCCAUUAGUAGGGAUUACAGGUUAUGUGAGUUAUGCUCCUGCCCUGGUGGUAAGACAACUUGGGGGCAUGCAAUUUGUUCCAAGGACUAUGGGAAUUGCUCAAUUCUUUGAUUUGUUCAAAAAUCCCAUUGCACAAGAAGUUUUGGAGAUCAUCAAACAAGAUUGGAAGCAUCUGGUUUUGGCUGAGAUAGAAGGUUUAAUGGAUCCAAGUGCAAGAUGGAGAGACUUAGCAGCUUCCGCUAUGCCUUGUGUAGGAGUCAAAUCUCUCCAAAUUGUAGAAGAGCCUAUUAAGAGGAAAAGGGUCAAUAAUGAAGAGAAGUUGCGUAAAACAAAUGUAUUAGCAUCCCAAAUACGCCCUACCUAAGAUAAGCUACAUUGUUUAAUUAUCUGAUAAAAAAAACUCAAGCGUUAUUGUGUUUUCUAAUUGUUGGUUUGUCUAAAGUUUAAGAUAAGUCCUGCUCGAUAAGGAGAUUCUUAUCUUCUCGGGGAAAAGCCUAACCAUUCUAAUGUCUAUAAAAGAAGUAUCUUUUUAAUAUCGGUAAUAUAUUUUAGGUAUAUAUUUGUAAUCCUAGAUACUAAAAUAAAACAAAAUAUUUUUUAGGUAUUUUUGAAAUAUUGGCUUAUUUCUCAUAGCUUUAUUAAACUAGUUUUCGAAUGCUAACACAUUUGUUUUUGUUUUUUUUUUGUUGUAUGAAAAUACGAUGUGAUUUUUUUUAUCUUUGAGAGACUUGGUUGUAUGUAAUUUUUUUGCAAUGUUUCAAUGAAAAUCGAGUAUUUUAAUACCAGAUUUGUAUCUUUAAAAAAUAAAAAUACAAACCAAUAUUAAGCAAAAUUGAUUAGAAAAAUACACAGGAAAAUUAAAAAAAUUUGAAAGGAUUUUUUAGAUUUUUUUGAAUUUGUUUGGACUCCACCGAACCCGGCCAAACUAUUUUUGACAUGAGCCGGACCAGGUCCGGCCCAUGAACAGUGGCUCUCCUGGUCCGGUCCAUGAACAGUGGCUCUCCUAUGUUCACAUGCUACAUGAAUAGUAAAGAGUGAAUUAUAAUUCAUUCUCCACUAUUCAUUAACAGAACAGUGGAGCGUAGAAGCGGCGGUUCCUCCUCUUUUCUCUUCUGUUUGUGCCUUACUUCUUCUUUAUGUUUUUAUACCUCCGCUUCUUUGUUUCUUCAUCUGUUUCUGACGGUGGUGUUGUUGUUGUCAAUGGUGGUUCAGGGCAGUUCUUGUGGCGGCAACGAGGAAGGUAAGCGGCGGUGCCAUUUUUUUUCCUUCCUGUUCCUUCCUUCUUUUUGUUUCCUCCCUUCUCCUUUCUUUUCCUUUUCUUUCUCUGUUUUAUUUCCUUUUGUUUCCUUCCUCUUUCUCUCCUUUCUGUCUCUAUUUCUCUCUUUGCCUUCGUCCUCUGUUCUUAAACAACCACCCCCAUGUUAGCUCUCUCCUCGGUCUCCCCCUGUUUUUUUUACCUCCUAUGUUUCCUUCUCUGUAUAUCAUCCUUUUUGUUUCAAACCAUUCCCUCAACCUUCUCUCUACGUCUUUCUCUCCCCUUUGUUUUCUCUCUCUCUGGUCCUCUUAAAAAAACACUUCAAUGUCCUCUCAAAAACUCUCUUGCAAAUCGCACCCCCCCUUUUUGUUCUCCUCACUCUAGUAUUUAUUAGGGGAAAAGGGGAGAGAGCCACCCUACCCUAUCCAAUCAUGCCGAAUGGGUAGGGUGGUUGGGCAGCUGCCCGCAGGGCUUGUCUCCUUUGUUUUUUCAUCUUAGGAGGCCAGUGGGCGUGGGUGUUGUAAGUUUUGGGUUUUUGGGAGAGAGAGGGAAAGAGGCAUUGCAUGGGAGAUUUUCUCCUUCUUUCCCUGCCUAUGCGUGUCCGAAGGAGGAAGGAGAUGUACAGUGCCAUUCAAAACGACACCGUUUCCCCCUCUCUUUUUUAACGGUGGAUGAAACAGCGUCGUUUUGAACAAAACAUGUCGUUUCAUUCAAAUAAAAUUGGUGCCAAAGAAGUCAAUUUCCAAAUCGGUCCUCAAUUUUUAAUUUAUUGAAUCAAGUCCUCAAUUGCAAUUUUGAUUUUAAGAAUCAAUUCAACUGCAUCCCUCCCAAAGAGGAUGUCAACUUUAAAGUUGACCGCCUUUUUCAUUUCGGUCAUUGGUCUUGAAUUUAUGUAUUUUGACCCUCAAUUAAUAAAUAAACUUCCAUUUUCUUCAAUUUAGUCCCUAAUUCAGUCAAUUUCAGCAUCUCUAUUUACACACCUUUUCAUGUUUGAUCCUUGGUUUCAGAUUUCUUCAAUCAAGUUCCUAAUUGGCCAUUAAACUUCAAUAUUUAUGCAAUUAAGUCUCUGAUUUGACCAAAUCAACUCUUAAAAACUAUAAUUUGACCCCUGAACUCUAAUUUCUUCCAAUUAAAGCUCAUAUUGACUUAAAAAUUAAUUUUUCUUGUAAUCAAACCCUCCAUAAAUUCAAUUAAACCUUCAAUAAAAUUUAAUUGAGUCCAUAAACAUCUGAUUUUAGCCUUUUCUUCCUCAAAUUCCUGAUUUUUUUUUGGAAUUUCUCGUUUGGCCAGAUAUUUAAAUGAAAAGAAAUAAAAUAAAGGGGAAUGAUAUGGUCGGGCUUGAGGCCCAGACCCUUCCUGGCCCCAACCCUUUUUUUAAUUGAAGCGAGAUCUAUCUCAGCCCGUACAGGCUGGGCUAGAUCCAGUACAGGCUGGGCUAGAUCCAACAGCCCAGCCCAGUUACUAGCUCCUACCAGUAACCGGCCCUUUUCUUUUUGUCAGGCGUGCGUGCCUGCUUCAGCAACUACGUAAUGAAAAUGCAAAACAGGGGAAAACAAAAGCUUGCCUGCUUUGAACAAGAACCUGCAGGUGCUGGGCGAAGCUUCUCUUUUCCGCUUCCUUUCUGCUCUUUGUCCCUUCUUUUUCUUGUUCUUCCUGUUUUCAUUUUCUCACGUUUUGUCUCUCUCUCGUCCCCUCUGUGUUUUUUCUGGUUUUCGUUCGUCCUCUCUCUGUUUUUGUUUUCUUUUUGCUUUUUCGUUCUCUCUAUUCUUUUCUGGCUUUAGUUCCUCUGUUUCUGCUUCUUUUCUUUCGUUUUUUUUCUCUGAAGUUAGUUCCUGUCUAUGCUCGUCUCCGUCUUCUAUGUUUUUCUAUUCGUCUUUGUUGUUUCCUCCUUUGUCUUCUGUUUUUUCUCUUGUUCCCCCUGUGCUUUUCUGUUCGUCCCCUGGUUCUCUCGGUUUGCUCUCAGUCCCCCAGUCUACCUCUAUUUGCCAUAGUAAUAUAUAUGUAGUAGCAUGAGGGGGAGUGUUGGUGUAAGGCUAGUAAUAUGUUUAUUUAGUUUUCUUGUAAAUAUAGGUAUCAAUGUAAAUAGAGCAUCUACACACACUAAUCAAGGAAAUAACUCAUCAUACAAUAUUUUUACCCUAAAAUUACUUGGUAACUGAAAAUGUACAAAUGAAUCAGCUAAUAUAUAUAUUGAUGGUACGCCUACUGGUACCCAUAUAAUAUAUUCUUUCUUGCUUACAGAUAAGAUACCAGGAUAUUGUGAAAAAUGAAGAAUGAACACACUAUCUUGAAAAUUUCUAAAACCAUCUUUCAAGGUCUAUAUGAAGCAAUAACCUCACAGUUCUCUCACUAACACAUCUAUCUUACUGCAUAUGGUAAGCACGAACAUACAAAGAUCCUGAACGUUAACUUAAACUACAUCAUCAUCAUAAUCAUCAUCAUCAUCAUCAUCAUCAUCAAUCAAUCCUUCCCUAACAUCUCCAGUAAUGCCCCUUUGUCCCCCCUUACAAGGACCAUAAGCCUUGCUACAAGCAAGAUAAUAAAUGAAGUUAGCAAAACCCAAACUAGAAAGCAGCCAGUAAUAGUAAUCAUAAUGUCCUUUGUUGAUGUUGCUUGAAACCCAACUCUCUUGAUUUGCUUCACGAAUAAACCCACGAACAUUACUUACUAUAAAACUGGCCACCAAGCUUGCAGCAGAGAGUCCAAUACUAAAAAGAUUCGAGGCCACGCUAGACAUGCUUUUAGG
rnacentral:lncRNA from 1 species